UACGUAGGGGGCAAGCGUUGUCCGGAUUUACUGGGCGUAAAGGGCGCGUAGGCGGCGCAACAAGUCACUUGUGAAAUCUCCGGGCUUAACCCGGAGCGGCCAAGUGAUACUGUCGUGCUAGAGUGCGGAAGGGGCUACUGGAAUUCUCGGUGUAGCGGUGAAAUGCGUAGAUAUCGAGAGGAACACCUGCGGCGAAGGCGGGUAGCUGGGCCGACACUGACGCUGAUGCGCGAAAGCCAGGGGAGCGAACGGG
rnacentral:rRNA from 1 species